GGGAGGUGGGACAUCAGGUGUCACAGCUCCACAGCCCCAGAUGAGGCUGCAUCACCACGACAACCGGGGGUGCCGUCAGCUCUCUGUGCCCCACCAACCAAGCACCUGACCAUCCGCCCAGCCAGCUAUCCCACAAUCUACCAAUCCAUCCCUCCAUCCACCCCGGCGAAGCGAGGCCAGCGCCGGUCGAAACUGGCAACCUGCAGGAGUCAUCAGGCUGCCACAGAUGAAGCGAAGAUAGCAGCGAGAUGAAGAGGCAGAGCUGACUCUAUACCCCCAGGAGGGGUGGGGGGCGGGUGCAGCGAGGUGGAACCACUUGCCUGCCUCCCAGUGGAGAGACACUUCCACCAUCAGAGCGCCAUCUGCA